rnacentral:rRNA from 1 species
CCCUUAGAUGUUCUGGGCCGCACGCGCGCUACACUGUUCGACGCAGCGAGUCUUAACCUUGACCGAAAGGUUUGGGUAAUCUUCAGCAAAGUCGAACGUGAUGGGGAUCGAUCAUUGCAAUUAUUGAUCGUGAACGAUGAAUUCCUAGUAAGUGCAAGUCAUCAGCUUGCGCUGAUUACGUCCCUGCCCUUUGUACACACCGCCCGUCGCUACUACCGAUUGAAUGGUUUAGUGAGAUCUCUGGAUUGACGCUGGCUAGGGGGCGACCCUUGGCCAGGCUGUCGAGAAACUGCUCAAACUUGAUCAUUUAGAGGAAGUAAAAGUCGUAACA